GUGUCAGCAGCCGCGGUAAGACGAACCGUGCGAACGUUGUUCGGAAUCACUGGGCUUAAAGGGCGCGUAGGCGGGCCGCCAAGUCAGGGGUGAAAUACUCCAGCUCAACUGGAGAACAGCUUUUGAUACUGGCGGCCUCGAGUGAGGUAGGGGCAUGCGGAACAUUGGGUGGAGCGGUGAAAUGCGUUGAUAUCCAAUGGAACUCCGGUGGCGAAAGCGGCGUGCUGGACCUCAACUGACGCUGAGGCGCGAAAGCCAGGGGAGCAAACGGGAUUAGAUACCCCGGUAGUCC
rnacentral:rRNA from 1 species